UGCCCAGCCCCUGCAGCGGCUGGACAAUGAGAUGGACCUUCGAGGAGAUCAGCACCCCUUGGGUAGCUUUACUUACUCCACCUCUGCCACUGGCCCCACCUUGUCGCCUUCAGUGCCCCUUCACUACCUACCCCAUGAUCCACUGCACCAGGAGCUGUCCUUUGGUGUUGUAAGUGGCCGCCCUAUCCCCCAGGCCGGGCUGGGGGGAGCAGACAGGCCUGCAGUUGACCUGCACUUGGGUCCCCUAUUUGCAGCCAUAUUCCCACAUGAUGCCACGAAGACUGAGCACACAAAGAUACCGCCUGCAACAGCCGCUGCCACCACCCCCACCGCCGCCUCCACCAUCGUAUUACCCAAGCUUCCUCCCCUACUUCCUGUAAGUGCCAGCAUGACUGCCCUGGAGCCAUUGGGCCUUGUCUUCU
rnacentral:lncRNA from 1 species